CGUUUCUAUCUGGAACGUUUUCCGUAAAACUUUUGCGACCGCAGAAGUCUUCGGCCACAGAAGAUCUCGUGCUCAUGGUGCACGAAUCUCAAGCUCCAGGUGAACGACUGCCAGUGCAUCACGUGCGAGCACCAGACCACGGGAAUUUGUGUGGUCCGCGGCGCGCGUCCCAGCGGCAUCCUCUUCGCCGUCGUCGCGCUGAUUGGUUGGUGAAGCUGCUAGCAUCCUUGGUCCCGUCCUUCACUCCUUUACAAUGGCGUGAUGGUGAGAGACCCUCCUCCCUCCCGGCACAUUGCUUCCGUCUCCAGUCUCCAGCGACGGAAGAAGAUGAGCUGCUCCUCUUGCUGCGCCGCCGCCGUUUCGUCUCCUCCGGUGGUUCUCGCCAGGCCGCGGGCGCGGCCUCGCUGCUCGUCGAGCUCCGCCAGCUACAAUGCGUCCUCACCGUCUCUGGGCGCCGGCGGGAGCUCAGAGCGUGCGCGUUCAUGCAAACCUCUCGGCCCUCCGAGCUCGCCGGCGGCGGACGGCGGCAGCAAGGGCGGCGAAGCAGAGCGGCAGGACGACGAGAGGGCGUCUAAGCGCUCGGCCAAGUCAACGCCCCGUUUGACCCUUCCUUAAUCUCGGCCGUUGGUUGAAGAUUUAACGGUUUACGGGUACCUGGGUGGACGGUAAAUGAAAUACCGUCCACCCCGGUCGGUAGGCGAGCGAGGCACCGUGCACCCCUGGCCGUGCCGCCGUGGCGAGGGGAGGCCAGCCGCCAGCGCCGCCUGCCGGCCAGCUGCGAGGCACCUCCCAGCUUGGAAGCAGGCAGCACCGUGGCUGCAGGCCAGGCGCGCCGCGGCGACCGAUCAGGGCUGCUCCGAGUGUUCGGAUCGAUCGGCUCGUCCCGUUCCGGCGAUGCCCGCCGCCGCCGCCGCCAUCCUCGCUGCUGGAGUUCGCGUGCUCCGUUCCAUCCCUCUGUUCAGCUAUCGUCGCCCUCCGAGCGGGUAGGAGCGAAGCAGCGGCGAGCUUGACUUCACGCCGGGAGCCCGGCAAUGGCGGCUCGGCCCGUAGCUUGUUUGGCACAGGAUUCAUCUGACAUGAUGCGCUUGCCUUCAUACCUCAAUGCUUAGGCUGAUACUACUGCUUAGCUUGGAAGCUGGAGUAAUUCACAUUUAAUUUUUCUUUUCUUUUCGUUGCUGGAGUUUCAUCCGGAGUAGCAAAAUCGUCGCUGAUUGGUACAACAGAAUAGUUCUGGAACUAAACAAGCACUCUUGGCAUGCUUGAGCACUGCAUCAUUGAGGAAAUUCUGAUGAACUCUUUUGCA